rnacentral:rRNA from 1 species
AUACGUAGGGGGCGAGCGUUGUCCGGAUUUAUUGGGCGUAAAGGGCGCGUAGGCGGUCCAUCUAGUCGUGCGUGAAAUGCUCUGGCUCAACUGGAGAGGGUCGUGCGAUACUGGUGGACUUGAGGUCGGAAGGGGGGAGUGGAAUUCCCGGUGUAGUGGUGGAAUGCGUAGAUAUCGGGAGGAACACCAGUGGCGAAGGCGGCUUCCUGGUCCGAUGCUGACGCUGAGGCGCGAAAGCGUGGGGAGCGAACUGAAUUAGAUACUCAGGUAGUCCACGCUGUAAACGAUGGGUGCUAGGUGUCGGGGGUAUCGACCCCCCCGGUGCCGGAGUUAACGCAUUAAGCACCCCGCCUGGGGAGUACGGCCGCAAGGCUAAA